rnacentral:rRNA from 1 species
GACGAACGCUGGCGGCGUGCUUAACACAUGCAAGUCGAACGGAAAGGCCCUGCUUUUGUGGUGUUCUCGAGUGGCGAACGGGUGAGUAACACGUGAGUAACCUGCCCUUGACUUUGGGAUAACUUCAGGAAACUGGGGCUAAUACCGGAUAUGAGCUCCUGCUGCAUGUUGGGGGUUGGAAAGUUUCGGCGGUUGGGGAUGGACUCGCGGCUUAUCAGCUUGUUUGUGGGGUAGUGGCUUACCAAGGCUUUGACGGGUAGCCGGCCUGAGAGGGUGACCGGCCACAUUGGGACUGAGAUACGGCCCAGACUCCUACGGGAGGCAGCAGUGGGGAAUAUUGCACAAUGGGCGGAAGCCUGAUGCAGCAACGCCGCGUGCGGGAUGACGGCCUUCGGGUUGUAAACCGCUUUCGCCUGUGACGAAGCGUGAGUGACGGUAAUGGGUAAAGAAGCACCGGCUAACUACGUG